AUUGAACGCUGGCGGCAUGCUUUACACAUGCAAGUCGAACGGUAACAGGCCGCAAGGUGCUGACGAGUGGCGAACGGGUGAGUAAUGCAUCGGAACGUGCCCAGUCGUGGGGGAUAACGCAGCGAAAGCUGCGCUAAUACCGCAUACGAUCUGUGGAUGAAAGCGGGGGACCUUCGGGCCUCGCGCGAUUGGACCGGCCGAUGUCAGAUUAGGUAGUUGGUGGGGUAAAGGCUCACCAAGCCGACGAUCUGUAGCUGGUCUGAGAGGACGACCAGCCACACUGGGACUGAGACACGGCCCAGACUCCUACGGGAGGCAGCAGUGGGGAAUUUUGGACAAUGGGCGCAAGCCUGAUCCAGCCAUUCCGCGUGCAGGAUGAAGGCCCUCGGGUUGUAAACUGCUUUUGUACGGAACGAAACGGUCUGCUCUAAUACAGCGGGCUAAUGACGGUACCGUAAGAAUAAGCACCGGCUAACUACGUGCCAGCCGCCGCCGUAAUAC
rnacentral:rRNA from 1 species